rnacentral:lncRNA from 1 species
UCACUAGCAUUCUUCGUUUGCUUUUCACUCUUUCUUCGCUACGAAAUGUCAAAAGUUUUCAUCAGUCCGAAAAAUUCUUUCUCUUGGAAAAGUUCACAUCUGUUAUUUACUGAUGUGUGAUAAGAAUUUAUAUCUUAUUAAUUUGCAUAAAAUAAAUAUUUAUGUUUUGUAAUAAAAUACGUGUCGUUUAUGUAAAUUGUUAAAGUCAAUAAAGAAUACAACGAAACUAUAUACAUAUAUGUGUGUUUUUUGGUAAGACAACGCAAUCGUAAGUUGGACAUUGGGCCCGAUUACGUACAACGAAACCGACGAGUAGAUGAUAAAUAGCAAAUGUGUGUGCGAUUUUGGUAAAUAACCAAGAAGAACGAAUCAAAAUUUUGAUUUUCUCUCAUUUUCCGGAAGGCAAAGUUGUGGGCGUGCAGUAGGAAAUAUCUGUCGAACUGUUAAAAAGUGACUAUUAAGGAAAUAAAUUAGAAAUUUCCGAAAUAAUGUGGUAAUUAGUCACAUAUUAACCGCACAAUUUCAGUUUUUGUUAUUGUGCUUUAAAUUGUAAGUUGCUAACCUUUGUCAACAACAGCAAAUACUUACCAGCGUACGCGUGUAUACAAAAAUAGACAAAAUGAUUCGUCUGAAACAAUUUUAAGCUAAAGCAAAAUAAACCAUUAAAGAAUUAAAAUAUUUAUAAAUAAAACCACUUUACGUCACAACCACUGUUGCUGGGCUAAGAGAUUUUGUGCAUAUAUAUACAUAUGUAUAUAUAUUUGUGCAGUUAUUAAACAAUAAUAUCAGUGUUUGUGUGCGUGCAAUUUUUUAAAUCGUUUGCCAAAAAAUCUCGAAAUAUAAUUAGAAAUUCAAACGGUGAAUUUUCCCCGACAGCCAACACUCUGAGUUCGCAUUCGAAAGCGUCAACAACGCAACGACGACGACGAAGAAAACAACGGUAAAGCUAUUAGCAAGCGAAGGCGGCGUAAAAAGUAAAGUAAAACAAAAAUAUCUGAAUAUUGGAAAAUUUUGUCAUCAUAUGCAACGGUGCGGUCAACGAUCAGCGUAAAAUUGCAGCAGCAGGAACAACAACAACAACAAAAAACUAAGCAAAAUUGUGUGAAAAAGCGUUUGUAUUUUGUGUAAAAAUCUGUGCUUAGUUCGUUUUUUUUAAGGAUUUUUCUUUAUAUUUAAAUAAAAAGUUUUAAAUUCUUUUUGUAUUCAAAAUUAAAAACCGUUACAAAAAAUAAGCAGCAAAAUGUCGCGUUUAAGUCAGUCGAAUUUAAUACAAAAAUUGUCACUUUUAAAGACUAAAAAGUUUAUGUGAUAUACGUUCUACAAUACGUGCGAUAUCAAUAUAAAAACAACAACAACAACAACAACAAAGAGAAAAUUAACAAAAAAUCUGACAAAAACGCUGAGCAGUGGUGGUAGAAGUGCUGCGAAAAUACCAACAACAAAAAACUUGUAACAAAACGCAAAAGUCGACCCGACGCUGUGUGGUAAUUUUUACUGGGCGCUUUAAAAAAAAUUUCAAUUUUCAAAAAAAAAAAUCGAAUUUCAAAAAAAAAAAAAAAAUU